UACGAAGGGGGCUAGCGUUGCUCGGAAUCACUGGGCGUAAAGCGCACGUAGGCGGAUUGCUAAGUCAGGGGUGAAAUCCUGGAGCUCAACUCCAGAACUGCCUUUGAUACUGGCGAUCUCGAGUCCGGGAGAGGUGAGUGGAACUGCGAGUGUAGAGGUGAAAUUCGUAGAUAUUGGCAAGAACACCAGUGGCGAAGGCGGCUCACUGGCCCGGUACUGACGCUGAGGUGCGAAAGCGUGGGGAGCAAACAGG
rnacentral:rRNA from 1 species